rnacentral:rRNA from 1 species
CCGACUGUUUAACAAAAACAUAACCUUUAGCCCAAACAAGUAUUAAAGGCAACGCCUGCCCAGUGAAUAAUUAAACGGCCGCGGUACCCUAACCGUGCAAAGGUAGCGUAAUCACUUGUCUAUUAAUUGUAGACCCGUAUGAAAGGCAAAAUGAGGGCCUAACUGUCUCUUAUAAUAAAUCAAUUAAACUGAUCUCCCAGUCCAAAAGCUGGAAUACCAACAUAAGACCAGAAGACCCUGUGAAGCUUAAACUAAACUAUUAAAACAAAUAAUAGCUCCUUUCGGUUGGGGCGACCUUGGAAAAAAAAAGAACUUCCAAUAGGCCAACAAGCCAAACACUAGACCCAGCACCGCUGACUAUUGAACCAAGUUACUCCAGGGAUAACAGCGCUAUCUUCCUCAAGAGCCCAUAUCAAAAGGAAGGUUUACGACCUCGAUGUUGGAUCAGGACAUCCUAAUGGUGCAGCCGCUAUUAAGGGUUCGUUUGUUCAACGAUUAACAGUCCYACGUGAUCUGAGUUCARACCGGAGA